rnacentral:rRNA from 1 species
GAUGAACGCUGGCGGCGUGCCUAAUACAUGCCAGUCGAGCGAACAGACGAGGAGCUUGCUCCUCUGACGUUAGCGGCGGACGGGUGAGUAACACGUGGAUAACCUACCUAUAAGACUGGGAUAACUUCGGGAAACCGGAGCUAAUACCGGAUAAUAUAUUGAACCGCAUGGUUCAAUAGUGCAAGACGGCUUUGCUGUCACUUAUAGAUGGAUCCGCGCCGCAUUAGCUAGUUGGUAAGGUAACGGCUUACCAAGGCAACGAUGCGUAGCCGACCUGAGAGGGUGAUCGGCCACACUGGAACUGAGACACGGUCCAGACUCCUACGGGAGGCAGCAGUAGGGAAUCUUCCGCAAUGGGCGAAAGCCUGACGGAGCAACGCCGCGUGAGUGAUGAAGGUCUUCGGAUCGUAAAACUCUGUUAUUAGGGAAGAACAAAUGUGUAAGUAACUAUGCACGUCUUGACGGUACCUAAUCAGAAAGCCACGGCUAACUACGUG